rnacentral:snoRNA from 1 species
CAUGCAUAUAAUCUGAAGAUAUACAGGGACAUCAGAAAUCCCAUGGGGAAUAAUGAUUUGUCUUUGGGAAUCUCUUUGAUGCAUU